AUCACAAAAAUAAAAGUAAAGGGUUUGUUGGAAUCUGCUGGCCUAGUCCUCGUUGUCUCCACUUUGACUUGCCCUAUAAAAUCCACAAAUUCACUGUAUAUAUCUUUCUGUAUAAGGAAAAACUCCCAAUUUCACAAUCUCUCUAGAUCCAACCAAGAAUUCAAUCAUGAGUUACUACAAUCAACAACAACCCCCUGUUGGUGUCCCUCCCCCGCAAGGAUAUCCACCGGAAGGCUACCCAAAGGACGCAUACCCACCACCGGGGUACCCACAACAGGGGUACCCACCACAGGGGUACCCUCAACAAGGUUACCCUCCUCAAGGGUACCCUCCCCAAUAUGGUGCUCCACCCCCUCAACNAAAAAAAAAGAGAUCUAUAUUUCAGAUCUGAAGUCGGAGACCCAUGAAGAUUAAACAUGUGGGAGGGUUUCGAGCUUUUCAUAAACUUAAAUUAGAGAUGCAAUUGACACUCGAAUUCGGGUAGCUUUUUGAUUUUUCUUUUUAGCUAAUUUGAUUAUAGUAUGCUCCAAUUCUUGGGAUGUAAUCUUUGAAAACAAGGUUUUUAGAUGACAUCCUUUACAAGUUAGUCUGUAGAGCCACGAUUGCUGAAAAGGGAAAGUUGUAUAAUAUACGGUUUUUGAGAAAGGAGGGGGAGGGGUUUUGGGACAAAUUAAUUUUAAAAAUAAUGAAUAUAUGUAAAAUUUUAACAUUAUUUAGCACUUAAAAAAGGAUUGUGAUAUUUGCUCUUUAUCCUUUUGGUUACACAUGCCCGCCAUGUAGUAAAAGUGGUGUGUCUUAGGCACACUUGAGUGUGUAAGGUGAUUUUCUUCAAAUAAAGCGAAGUGUGUAAGGUGAUUUUCUUCAAAUAAAGCGUGUAAUAGUGAAUUGGUCCAUAGCUGAGGUGGUAAUUUAUGCAUUUGCCUACAUAUUUAUAUUAUCAAAAAUAAUCUACUAUAGAUAAAAGAUGUAUGUUAAGGAAUUGGUCUAGUGAUUAAUUGUGUCCUUAAACACACCUAGUUGGGGUCCAAAUUAUCUGUAUACCUUACAGACCUAAGGUAGGCACAAUUUUUAACUUAUCAUAAUCCUUUUUCUACGUUUGGACUAGGGUCCAACUAUGCUGCUCUUCACAUAGGCUGAGUUAAAUGUGUGUCACAUCUCAAGAGUUUAAAUGUGGAUAAUGUCAGUCAUUUGGAGUUCAAGCUUAGGGGACAAAAUCUCGUGAUUUGGACUCCAAAUGACUGACAUUAUCUCAAGAACUCCAAUAUCCUUGUACUCCAAAUGACUAUGACAUUAUCUCAAAAGUUUAAUGUGGAUAAUGUCAGUCAUUUGGAUUGACAUUGUCGACAUUAAGCUUUCCCUAUGUUGAAGUUAUGUGUCAUAUAUAAGGUGGAAAUCUUCUGGUUUUUGCUAUUUAUGCUUGCUUCCUAGUUAGAUGAUAGGAGGUAAAAAAUUGCUGGAAUCAAGAGUGGUUGUAGAGUUUGGCCUCAAGGUAAUCCGAACUAAGUACUUUCGACGCGGCACAUAAAUUUAUUUGUAAAAUUUCAUUAAAAUUGCAACAAAUGGUAGUUCUGAACCCAUAACUUUAAAGAUACAAUGAGUUCAAUGCUAAAAACCUUAAAAGUUGAACUCAUAGAAUCUAAAUCAUGGAUCCGCAUCGGAUUAGAAUUGUGGCGUAAAAGUCAAUCCAAGAGUUUUGUUGAAUGUAUUUCCAUGCUUCAAAUUAUUAAGUUUAUGAUUGCAAUAACUUCAUUUAACUUUUUCAUGUAUAUAUAUUGCUAUAUUGUCUUGCUAUCAGUGCUUCUGUCUUUUCUUUAGCCGAGGGUCUAUCGGAAAGUCUCUCUGUCCUUCCUUCCAGGGUAGGGGUAAGGCUACAUACAUCCUACUACUCUCCGGGCCGCCCUACUUUUUGUGGGAUUAUACUGUGUUAUUGUUGUAUACGUCUUAAUUUAGCCUAUGCAUGUUUAUACUGUUUCUACACACCUGGUCUUGCCAAAUUUAAGGCAGAUUACUAAUAGUAGCUGCUAUUUUUUUAACAGUUUGGCUGCACUGUGCUGUUGCUGUCUCCUGGAUGCAUGCUUCUGAUGAUGGGUUGUGCUGUAGAUGACUUGUGCGAGUGGUUAUUGACGCAACCAGUAUGGUUUUGUGAGGCGGCCUCAUCUAUAUCGAUUAUUAGUCUAGAUUUUAUUUUUAUUUUUCUCUUUUGUCCUUGCUGUCUCGUCCUCGAUAAAUAAUUGGAUAUUCAAUAUGACUAUGCACACCUUGAUGUGGUGAACAAUUCAAUGCUUUCAAAUGUCUAUUUCUCAAUUAUAGGUUAUGUACAUUGUGAGAUUCUAUUUUCUUUAUGUUUUGAACCUCAACUAUGUGAAUGAACCUUGUUUUAUUUAAGAAUUUAAUAAUUCUUCAA